rnacentral:rRNA from 1 species
UACGUAGGGGGCAAGCGUUGUCCGGAAUCACUGGGCGUAAAGCGCACGUAGGCGGAUUUUUAAGUCAGGGGUGAAAUCCCGAGGCUCAACCUCGGAACUGCCUUUGAUACUGGAGAUCUUGAGUCCGGAAGAGGUAAGUGGAACUGCGAGUGUAGAGGUGAAAUUCGUAGAUAUUCGCAAGAACACCAGUGGCGAAGGCGGCUCACUGGCCCGGAACUGACGCUGAGGCGCGAAAGCGUGGGGAGCAAACAGG